rnacentral:misc_RNA from 1 species
GAUGAAGAACGUAGCGAAAUGCGAUACGUAGUGUGAAUUGCAGAAUUCAGUGAAUCAUCGAAUCUUUGAACGCACAUUGCACCUCUCGGUAUUCCGGGAGGUAUGCCUGUUCGAGCGUCAUUUGUACCCUCAAGCUCUGCUUGGUGUUGGGUGUUUGUUCCGCCUCUGUGUGUGAACUCGCCUCAAGACAAUUGGCAGCCGGCGUACUUGUUUCGGAGCGCAGCACAUUUUGCGAUCCAGAUCAACGUACAGCGGCAUCCAAGAAGCCUUAUUUAACGCUCUUGACCUCGGAUCAGGUAGGGAUACCCGCUGAACUUAAGCAUAUCAAUAAGCGGAGGA